rnacentral:ncRNA from 1 species
CCCAUCGGCAUGGCAGCCACCCACGCCCUCGCCGGAGGGAUGGGCGGGAUCCGCACCGCCGGGGACCUCGUUGCCCGCAUG